UUGGAAGUUUGAGAGGAGCUGUCCUUAGUACGAGAGGACCGGGAUGGACACACCACUGGUGUACCAGUUGUUCCGCCAGGAGCAUAGCUGGGUAGCUACGUGUGGCACGGAUAAGUGCUGAAAGCAUCUAAGCACGAAACCCGCCUCAAGAUGAGACUUCCCAUCAUUUUAAAUGAGUAAGAUCCCUUACGAGACGAUAAGGUUGAUAGGUUCGAGGUAGAAGCGUAGUGAUACGUGAAGCUGACGAAUACUAAUAGAUCGAGGACUUAACUAA
rnacentral:rRNA from 1 species